rnacentral:rRNA from 1 species
GAUGGACGCUGGCGGCGUGCCUAAUACAUGCAAGUCGAGCGAACGGACGAUAAGCUUGCUUCUCUGAUGUUAGCGGCGGACGGGUGAGUAACACGUGCAUAACCUACCUAUAAGACUGGGAUAACUUCGGGAAACCGGAGCUAAUACCGGAUCAUAUUUUGUACCGCAUGGUUCAAAAGUUAAAGACGCUUUUGCUGUCACUUAUAGAUGGAUCCGUGCUGCAUUAGCUAGUUGGUAAGGUAACGGCUUACCAAGGCAACGAUGCAUAGCCGACCUGAGAGGAUGAUCGGCCACACUGGAACUGAGACACGGUCCAGACUCCUACGGGAGGCAGCAGUAGGGAAUAUUCCGCAAUGGGCGAAAGCCUGACGGAGCAACGCCGCGUGAGUGAUGAAGGUCUUCGGAUCGUAAAACUCUGUUAUUAGGGAAGAACAUAAGUAGAAGUAACUGUGCACAUCUUGACGGUACCUAAACAGAAAGCCACGGCUAACUUCGUG